rnacentral:rRNA from 1 species
CCUACGGGUGACUGCAGUGAGGAAUAUUGGUCAAUGGACGAGAGUCUGAACCAGCCAAGUAGCGUGAAGGAUGACUGCCCUAUGGGUUGUAAACUUCUUUUAUAAGGGAAUAAAAUGUGGCACGUGUGGGAUUUUGUAUGUACCAUAUGAAUAAGGAUAGGCUAACUCCGUGCCAGCAGCCGCGGUAAUACGGAGGAUCCGAGCGUUAUUCGGAUUUAUUGGGUUUAAAGGGAGCGUAGGUGGAUUGUUAAGUCAGUUGUGAAAGUUUGCGGCUCAACCGUAAAAUUGCAGUUGAAACUGGCAGUCUUGAGUACAGUUGAGGUUGGCGGAAUUCGUGGUGUAGCGGUGAAAUGCUUAGAUAUCACGAAGAACUCCGAUUGCGAAGGCAGUUCACUGGACUGCCACUGACACUGAUGCUCGAAAGUGUGGGUAUCAAACAGGAUUAGAUACCCCUGUAGUC